GAUGAACGCUGGCGGCGUGCUUAACACAUGCAAGUCGAGCGAACAGACGCGGAGCUUGCUCCUCUGACGUUAGCCGCGGACGGGUGAGUAACAUGUGGAUCACUUACCUAUAAGACUGGGAUAACUUAGGGAAACCGGAGCUAAUACCGGAUAAUAUAUUGAAGCGCAUGGUUGAAUAGUGAAAGACGGUUUUGCUGUCCCUUCUAGAUGGAUCCGCGCUGCAUUAGCUAGUUGGUAAGGUAACGGCUUACGAGGGCAACGAUGCGUAGCCGACCUGUGAGGGGGAUCGGCGACAGAGGGGCUGAGACGCGGUCCAGGCACCGAGGGGAGGCAGCAGUAGCGAAGCGUCGGCAAUGGGGGGAAGCCUGACGGAGCGGCGCAGCGUGGGUGAUGCAGGUCUGCGGAUCGGAAGACUCUGUUAGUGGGGAAGAACGAAUGUAGAAGGGGCUAUGCUCGUGGUGACGGUACCUGAUCAGAAAGCCACGGCUAACUACGUG
rnacentral:rRNA from 1 species